rnacentral:rRNA from 1 species
GAUGAACGCUGGCGGCGUGCCUAAUACAUGCAAGUCGAACGCUGGAAAUCUAGCUUGCUAGAUUGAAGGAGUGGCGAACGGGUGAGUAAUACAUAAGCAACCUACCCACGAAGACUGGGAUAAUCUCUGGAAACGGGGACUAAUACCGGAUAGGUAAUCGGAAGGCAUCUUCUGAUUAUUAAAGGUUAAAAACACUGGUGGAUGGGCUUAUGGCGCAUUAGUUAGUUGGUGAGGUAACGGCCCACCAAGACGAUGAUGCGUAGCCGGCCUGAGAGGGUGAACGGCCACAUUGGGACUGAGACACGGCCCAGACUCCUACGGGAGGCAGCAGUAGGGAAUUUUCGGCAAUGGGGGAAACCCUGACCGAGCAACGCCGCGUGAGUGAUGACGGCCUUCGGGUUGUAAAGCUCUGUUGUAAGGGAAGAACGGUAAUAGAGAAUAUCUAAGUGA